UACGUAGGGACCAAGCGUUGUUCGGAUUUACUGGGCGUAAAGGGCGCGUAGGCGGCGCGGUAAGUCACUUGUGAAAUCUCUGAGCUUAACUCAGAACGGCCAAGUGAUACUGCAGUGCUAGAGUGUGGAAGGGGCAAUCGGAAUUCUUGGUGUAGCGGUGAAAUGCGUAGAUAUCAAGAGGAACACCCGUGGCGAAAGCGGCUCUCUGGAACGGUACUGACGCUGAGACGCGAAAGCGUGGGGAGCGAACAGG
rnacentral:rRNA from 1 species